UGGGUGGAUGAGUGGCGAACGGGUGAGUAACACGUGAGUAACCUGCCCCCUUCUUUGGGAUAACGCCGGAAACGGGUGCUAAUACUGGAUAUUCACUGGCCUUCGCAUGGGGGUUGGUGGAAAGGUUUUUUCUGGUGGGGGAUGGGCUCGCGGCCUAUCAGCUUGUUGGUGGGGUGAUGGCCUACCAAGGCUUUGACGGGUAGCCGGCCUGAGAGGGUGACCGGUCACAUUGGGACUGAGAUACGGCCCAG
rnacentral:rRNA from 1 species